rfam:Nippostrongylus brasiliensis genome assembly, scaffold: NBR_scaffold0002081
UUGUCAGUGGCGUAGUGUAUAGCGCAUGGGCCCCGGUUAGGCGCAAGACGCGGGUUCGAAUCCCGCUUGAGAUG